GGAGGUUGGUAGCAAGGUGACAUAUUCCCUGGAUCGAGAAGGAUAGAAAAAAAUUGGGCGCAUGCCCCCGUGGAAAAUAGUAGCUGAUGAGGAGAAGAAGAGGAUAGAAAAGCACCGAUGAUUGUGUUGGGUUCGAAGAACACGGAGAGUCAGGGAGUCCAACUGAAUCGGAGAAAAAAAAGAAUAGUAGAGCACAACAAAAUCAUUCGCUGACAGACGGUAUUCAUAACCGUUUCCAAUUUUAUAUGAAACAAAGAAUUUCAUUGAGAAAACGAGAACUUUGAAAAUUCAACAAAUACGCACUUCUUCCAUUGCAAGAUGUUUAAAUUUUUGAUAACCCUUGGAAUUGGUAUCUAUGCAGGAAUUUAUAUAAGUCAACAUUAUGAGGUACCGCGAGUGGACGAACCUUCUAAACUAUUAGAAAGGCUAAAAGAUUUUACGGAUGAAUAUAAAAAGAAGUAGAGGGCUUUGGGGAUAAGCCAAACAGGGAGAGAAGAUAAAAUAAAAUGUAAAAGAAAUUGUAAAUAAUCAUUUGUUUUACUGUUACAUA